UCUUGACCUCAAAUCAGGUA
rnacentral:rRNA from 1 species